UGGAGUAUGUGGUUAAUUCGAUGCAACGCGAAGAACCUUACCUGGUCUUGACAUCCCGGAGACCCUUAGGAACUAGGGGUGCUUCCAUCUGGAAGAAUCUGGAGACAGGUGCUGCAUGGCUGUCGUCAGCUCGUGUCGUGAGAUGUUGGGUUAAGUCCCGCAACGAGCGCAACCCUUGCCUUUAGUUGCCAGCAGUUCGGCUGGGCACUCUAAAGGGACUGCCGGUGUUAAACCGGAGGAAGGUGGGGAUGACGUCAAGUCCUCAUGGCCUUUAUGACCAGGGCUACACACGUACUACAAUGGCCGAUACAAAGGGCAGCGACACUGCGAGGUGAAGCCAAUCCCGUAAAAUCGGUCUCAGUCCGGAUUGGAGUCUGCAACUCGACUCCAUGAAGUUGGAAUCGCUAGUAAUCGUGGAUCAGCAUGCCACGGUGAAUACGUUCCCGGGCCUU
rnacentral:rRNA from 1 species